rnacentral:tRNA from 1 species
GGGGCCGUAGUGUAGUUUGGACAUUCCAAACCUGCGGUUUGCAGGGUUGCUUUGGGACAACUAUCACCGGCGCUUGGGGUGCGUCUGACCGGAGUUCGAAUCUUCGCGGCCCCA